rnacentral:rRNA from 1 species
UAUUGAUUGCGGUGAGGGUCCACCUGUUCCCAUCCCGAACACAGAAGUUAAGCUCAUUCGCGUCGACAAUACUUGCAGGGCGACUUGCCGGGAAGAUAGAU